rnacentral:lncRNA from 1 species
AUGCAUCGAACUCGAAAGUUGUCUAUUGAUGCAAACUUUUAUCCUUAUUAUUACAAUCAUUGCAUGAUCAUAUUAUAUUUAAUUUAAUCUUUAGUUAUCGUAAUGUCAAGUGUUAGUAUUACUUUUAUGUUUUGUAGAAAACGUGAAGUAUACUAAAUUUUAAUCGGAGUGAGCAUAAUUAUGUAUGCUGCAUGCCUUUUCUUCCAAAAAAGGUACAUACAUGUAAUAUCUUAAUUCAUUGACUUUCGUCCAGUUUACAAUUUUGUGAUUGAUUUUUACUAUUUUUAUUAUUGUUGUUUUUAUUGUUUUAGAUAAUACAAUAUAAAGCUUUGUUAUGAAACUAAUGCGUUUAAUUGGGUAAAGAACGAAUAAAAU